GGAAGGAUCAUUAACGUUGGGGACUAACAAUCCCUCAGCGAGAUAGAACCCUUGCCUUUUCGAGUACCACACGUUUCCUCGGUAGGUACGCCUGCCAAUGGGGACCACAACAAAACCUUUCGUAAUAGCAGUAAACGUCUUAAAAACAAAACUUUUAAAACUUUCAACAACGGAUCUCUUGGUUCUGGCAUCGAUGAAGAACGCAGCGAAAUGCGAUAAGUAGUGUGAAUUGCAGAAUUCAGUGAAUCAUCGAAUCUUUGAACGCACAUUGCGCCCUUUGGUAUUCCUUAGGGCAUGCCUGUUCGAGCGUCAUCUCACCCCUCAAGCUCUGCUUGGUGUUGGGCGUCUGUCCCGCCUCCGGCGCGGACUCGCCUUAAAAUCAUUGGCGGCCUGUGUAUUUGGGCUACGAGCGCAGCAGAUUCGCGCCUCUACUCCCGUCAUCGGCGUCCAUUAAGCGACAACCAUAGUUUUGACCUCGGAUCAGGUAGGGAUACCCGCUGAACUUAAGCAUAUCAAUAAGCGGAGGAAAAGAAACCAACAGGGAUUGCCCUAGUAACGGCGAGUGAAGCGGCAACAGCUCAAAUUUGAAAUCUGGCUCCUUCGGGGCCCGAGUUGUAAUUUGUAGAGGGUGCUUUGGUUUUGGCUACGGCCUAAGUUCCUUGGAACAGGACGUCACAGAGGGUGAGAAUCCCGUACGUGGCUGCUAGUCUUCACCGUGUAAAGCCCCUUCGACGAGUCGAGUUGUUUGGGAAUGCAGCUCUAAAUGGGAGGUAAAUUUCUUCUAAAGCUAAAUACUGGCCAGAGACCGAUAGCGCACAAGUAGAGUGAUCGAAAGAUGAAAAGCACUUUGGAAAGAGAGUCAAAAAGCACGUGAAAUUGUUGAAAGGGAAGCGCUUGCAGCCAGACUUGCCUGUAGUUGCUCAUCCGGGCUCUUGCCCGGUGCACUCUUCUGCGGGCAGGCCAGCAUCAGUUUGGGCGGUCGGAUAAAGGCCUUGGGAAUGUAGCUCUCUUCGGGGAGUGUUAUAGCCCAGGGUGUCAUGCGACCAGCCUGGACUGAGGUCCGCGCAUCUGCUAGGAUGCUGGCGUAAUGGCUGUAAGCGGCCCGUCUUGAAACACGGACCAAGGAGUCUAACAUCUAUGCGAGUGUUUGGGUGUCAAGCCCGGACGCGUAAUGAAAGUGAACGGAGGUGGGAACCCCUCGGGGUGCACCAUCGACCGAUCCUGAUGUCUUCGGAUGGAUUUGAGUAAGAGCAUAGCUGUUGGGACCCGAAAGAUGGUGAACUAUGCCUGAAUAGGGUGAAGCCAGAGGAAACUCUGGUGGAGGCUCGCAGCGGUUCUGACGUGCAAAUCGAUCGUCAAAUUUGGGCAUAGGGGCGAAAGACUAAUCGAACUAUCUAGUAGCUGGUUCCUGC
rnacentral:misc_RNA from 1 species